UCCUCUCUCUUUCUUAAUCUCUCUCCUAUCUGACGCUACGCCCGCACCCCUCCUUCUCUCUCUUCUCUCUCUCUCUAAUUUUCUCUACCUUCUCUCUCACUCUCUAGGUCUAGCCCUACCUACAUAGGCUGCAGUCGAGCCGCCCUUUUGCCUUCGCCUACUCUGCCCCUUAGUAGGGACGUUGCAGCCGAGCCACCUUUUUGGCUCUUCAGGUGCCCUGCGGGUGCGGCUCCGAUGGAUUGCAGGCUGGCUCCGAUGGCAGUGGCUCGCCGCCCCCUACUUGGCCCCUAACCUACUUGCUGACAGGCCUAUUUGGCCCCUUUUUGAAGCUAUGUUUGGCUCUUUCUCGAAACCAGGGGCUAGAAAAAAAAGGUGAUGUACUAGCCCUGCAUCCUACACCCUGCACCUUUAUAUGAUCUCUGAGAACACAUGGCAAGAGUCGGAUGGCCUCUUUCGAGGCAACCCUGAAAGUCCUUCCUUCCAAUAUCUUUUUUCCUUUUAAUCUCUUCUUUGUUCUUAAAUGCUUUGCCUUUUAAGGCCUGUUUUGUUUUGCUUUCCUACUCCUUCGUUUUAAAAUGUUUUGCCUCCGAGGUAAUGAUGUCAGGUUAUUGGAAUGCUCUGAACUGGCAAGCUCGAGUAAUUGGGGUUGUCUAAAUUGUGGCUGAUGUCAUGUUCGUGUUCGUGCUGGAUUAUGGCCUAUUGCCCACUCAGUCGGUUGGACGGCAUGUUCGUACGAACAAGCAGUCACCUGUUUACGCUGGGUUUCGUGUUCCUACUAUAUAUCGCCAAAUUUCCCUCACUGGUAUUCACCGUGUUGCCUGAGCCUUGCUGUUAACAUAAAGUUCACCUCGAGCUUGCCUAUUCAAGUGAUGCCAGCGGUAACCCAAUAUGUGGUCGCCUAGCGACCUUGCCUGAGCCU